rfam:Haemonchus contortus, ISE/inbred ISE, WGS project CAVP01000000 data, contig: Hcontortus_25951
UCCCAGGUGGCUCAGUGGUAAAGAAUCUGCCUGCCAAUGCAGGAGACACGGGUUCAGUCCCCAGUCCUGGGAA